AGUAUUGUCCUGCUCUUUGCUCUAAGGGACAAGAUGAAAUCUACAUUGGGGUAAAGGUAGUGGAAUGAUGUAUCUUUGCUAAGAUGAACCCAAUCAGAAAAAUAAGAGUUUUGUUUGUUCAUUAACCAGUGGAUAGUUCACCUUUUUUACUGAUUAUAAGGUAGGCUCAGUUUGUGAGAGAAAAUUUAGUUGUGCCCUUUAGUAAACACAUAUAAGCAUGUAAACAUAAAUAAGCAUAUCUUUGGCGCUGUUCUGUAUGGAGCCUGCUUUUCCUAAGUGGCAUACUUCAUCUGAUACUCAUCGUUACAGGCACUGAAGGCCUAAGGAGAUGAGGUCACAGAGGCUGCAAGUCCUGACUGUCCCACUAUGAUAGAAGGUGGAGUGGGGCUACCCCUUUCUCCAGGAGGACCUCUGAAGUCUGCAGAAGGCUGAUGUCCUGAGGUAUUAGAUCCUCACCACCCACCAACUUGGAAUCUGGUCGGAGCAAGAAAAGAUAACUUCUUGGAAGGCAUGUUAAGGGGCUUAGAAUUUCAAUAACAAAGUGAAUCCCUCCUUCCCAGUAAACAGCACUGGGCCAAGUAUUUAUGAAUCUUGCCAUCUCAGCCAAGUGCCCCUGCCAGCUUUCGGGUGAUGGAGACCGAGGAGGCAACAUGCUGGAAGUCACUGGAAAGAGAGGUGGCUGCAAGCAGAGAUUUCCACUUCUUCUUGUGGACACAGAGUCAAUUUACAUGUCAGCGACAUCAGGAGACACCUGCUGAGACCCGAGUUCCCUGGCACAUACUGAUUUAUUGAAGUGAUUUGUUUGCAU